GGCGGUUCCGGGGCCCACCACUUCUCCUCGUCUCGUCCACCCCCUCCCACUACCGACGCUCGUUUCGAAACUGCAACCUCAGUGCUCUCUCCUCAUGACUCCCAUCCCAAAUCCCCCAAAUCGGGCGAGGUUCAAUCCUGUGGGCGUCGACGAGUUCGGCGAAUCCGCGGCCGAUUUUCCGCCGGAGGUGGAGCGACCAUCAGGUGCAUGCGGCGUUUUCUGGAAGAAGAGAAGCGGAGGGUAGCCUGGCUUGCGGCAAGGAGCAGGUCGGAGGAAGGGAAGCAGUAGCCAAGGCGCGAAAGGGGAGGACCGGCCGCCGCGAGCGACAUGCCGUUGGCGCAUAGGGCGAGUAAUCCUUCCCUGCAAUCCUUUGCAGGAGAAAAUGGCUGGGACAAGCAAAAAGGGCCUUCAGGGCGACCCUCCUGCAUUUAAUCCUGAUGACGAUCCAUCUAAUGCCACUGAAGAACAUAGAACAGAGGAUCUGCGGCAACUAGCAAGGUGAGGGAGGAGAGAUGUGUCAGAGUGCCGGCGAACAGGAAGCGAGGCAAGAGGAAGAGCAAAGAUGGCAGUGCCAUCCAUGCGCUGCGACCACCUAGCGGGGAGGACCUAGAGCCGAGAAAGUGUUGUCGCCACUAGUCGAGGAAUGGGCCACAAACCGUCUACCCCCUUUUCCCCACCACUUCUAGUCAUAUCCUCCCGCUGAUCUGGCGCUGCCUCGUUGCUCCACGGCUUCCAUUCGCACGGAUCUUGAUGGCGGCGAAGGACGGUGGCCUCUGGAGCCCGGUGAAAGUGUCAUUUCUCUCAUUGGGUUGGUGCUACCCAGCAGCUUCAUGAUGUUGUUGAAGAUAGGGCAUGGGUGUCACACAAUCACCUGCCCGAUGGUAGCUUGACAAUUAUUGACAGGUUUUACUACCAAUUGCCUUUAAACACUACCAUACUAACACAGAUGGAUCUAAUUAAGCAAUUUAAGAAGUUUAGGAUGGAUAUGG